AAUAAACAAACAAAACUUAUAGAAAAGUAACCCAAACCACAGGUGGUUGUACUGAAUCUUUCUAUUGUUUUAUAUACUAUCCUUCUGAAUUACAUCUGAAUUGACAACUACAGUAAAAAACACAAAUAGAUAUUUAUCAGAGGUGAACUCGUCAUCAUGAAUGAAAUGCACUUCCUAAAGGUAAAAACUAGAAAAUACAAGGAGUACAAGGAGUCUGGAAACUAGAAACUAGAGAUUUGUAAUCUGGGAACUUGAAACUAUGAAUGCUGUGAUCAAGGCAGAAGUAAUGCGGGAUAAACGGAAGAAACAGGAACUGUGAAAACCAGGAAGUAAGACUGCAUGUAACCAGAAGGCUGCAUUGUACAUAGCAGAACCUGAUAGAGUGGAAAAAAUAAACCGUAUGAACUGGGAAAUAUAGCAGUAUUAACAAGAAGCAGGCAGUGUACAUGGCAAGGAUAAAUAUCCUGAAAUUCCUAAAUAGAAGAAGAAUAGUAGAAGAAUACAAACAAAAACAAUAGUGUUUCAGCACCAUCAGUGCUUGACCCUUCAACUAAGAUUGUGAUUGAGAACCAUAUUCAUUCUUCAUUUUCUUUGCUCUACUGAAGCUGUAACCAGAGGCACACCCUGGAGUUGCUGGACAGGUAUAGACUGG